CUAAACUUAAAGGAAUUGACGGAAGGGCACCACCAGGCGUGGAGCCUGCGGCUUAAUUUGACUCAACACGGGGAAACUCACCAGGUCCAGACAAAAUAAGGAUUGACAGAUUGAGAGCUCUUUCUUGAUCUUUUGGAUGGUGGUGCAUGGCCGUUCUUAGUUGGUGGAGUGAUUUGUCUGCUUAAUUGCGAUAACGAACGAGACCUCGGCCCUUAAAUAGCCCGGUCCGCAUUUGCGGGCCGCUGGCUUCUUAGGGGGACUAUCGGCUCAAGCCGAUGGAAGUGCGAGGCAAUAACAGGUCUGUGAUGCA
rnacentral:rRNA from 1 species